GUGUCAGCAGCCGCGGUAAUACGUAGGGUGCAAGCGUUGUCCGGAAUUACUGGGCGUAAAGAGCUCGUAGGCGGUUUGUCGCGUCGUCUGUGAAAACUCGAGGCUCAACCUCGAGCUUGCAGGCGAUACGGGCAGACUUGAGUACUGCAGGGGAGACUGGAAUUCCUGGUGUAGCGGUGAAAUGCGCAGAUAUCAGGAGGAACACCGGUGGCGAAGGCGGGUCUCUGGGCAGUAACUGACGCUGAGGAGCGAAAGCGUGGGUAGCGAACAGGAUUAGAUACCCGCGUAGUCC
rnacentral:rRNA from 1 species